GUCCGCAAGCCAUCUGCAAUGUCCGAUCGCAUGUUAGAUCGGAUCUCAGCCAUCCGAUCAUGUCCGAUCCAUAGAAACCCGUAUGGACCGCCUGCCCUGCCAUGGAUCGUGACUCAAAGUCACAUGGUCCAUGAUUUUACACUGUGGUGGGUGUGCAUGUGUGGGCCAGGGCCACGCAUUGCAUGCGCCCGCAAUCGAUCGGUGCACCCCUACAUGCUGGGUCGUGCACCCGAGCGUGGCUGGCCUGCAAGCUCGUGUGCUGCCGCAUGCACCCAUUGCGGCCUCUGUUAGCCCACCGUCGGCCUUCGUUGCUCCGCCAUCUGUGCUAGCUUCUCUUAUGUGUAACUUCUCUGUCUGAACUCCAUUUAGACUGUUCUUAAGCUUGUUGUACUCUAUUCGUCAUCUUGGAUCUCGUUCUGGAUUUUUUACAGAUCAAAUCUUGAGAUAUAUUUUCUAACAACCUCCAUCUUGACUCGAUAUUCGAUCUCCUUCUGACUUUGAGAACUUUUGGAUCUCCUCGUCUUCACAUCCU
rnacentral:lncRNA from 1 species